rnacentral:rRNA from 1 species
UACGGAGGGUGCAAACGUUGCUCGGAAUCAUUGGGCGUAAAGCGCACGUAGGCGGCUCGUUAAGUCGGAUGUGAAAGCCCCGGGCUCAACCCGGGAAGUGCAUUCGAAACUGGCGAGCUUGAAUAUGGAAGAGGGUCGCGGAAUUCCCGGUGUAGAGGUGAAAUUCGUAGAUAUCGGGAGGAACACCAGUGGCGAAGGCGGCGACCUGGGCCAAUAUUGACGCUGAGGUGCGAAAGCGUGGGGAGCAAACAGG